ACCCCCUCCCCCUCCCCGCGCUGGGAGAUGGAUGACUUGUCAGACAAAGGCAAUAGAUUCCACCACUCUGUGAUUCGCCAGCGCCGGAGCCCCGAGCUUCGGCGAGGAGGGCCCCGCGCCUGUCACUCCGGUGCCGGUCUGCGAAAGGGCGGCUCAGGGAAGCCAGCGCUGCGCUCCUGCUGCCCGGACUCCAGGCGCCUCUGGUCCUUGCCCGCACACCCUAACGCCGCGGUAGCGCAGAGGACUCGCGCCGCUGUCCCGCUGGCCGGAGCCCAGGCCGCAGCUAGGAUGGAGGCCGCACCCGCCGGGCUCAGCCAGGAGGAGCCUCCUACUGGGUCUCUUGUACUAGGGUUUUCAGGGUGCCCUUAAUCCUUGGGCGGGGCUAGCACCAGGCUCAACCCGACUAGAUUCUGAGUUUCCCACUCCUUAGGGAGUUGGUUCUGCUGAGGUCCUAGCAUUUGCCCUAUUUCCUGGAACCUCCUGAGCCCGAUCUGCUUAAUUCGCCUGCAGAGUAAUUUUUAGGGGGGG